CAUAUUUCAAGGAGCAGAAAGUGGAAGAUGAGCUUGAACAGGUGUGCUGGGAACAAAGGGGGACUUCUGUUUCCAAACGGGAGCUCUGAAGCAACUUUUAUUCCUUUUCUCCAACACCCUGAAAUGCCUUCUAACUACAGGAUGAGUUUAACAUAAACAUGAUGCUGGGUGAGGAAGCUGAGGCCAUGUCAUGCAUCCAGUCAGAGGGUUCUGAUUGAAACCAGCCAGUUUGAUUCCAGAAUCUGUCCCCUUAGCACAUGGCUCCCCUUCAGCUGGUGUUCGCUACAUCUUUAUUGUAAUUGUGGACACGGUGCCAAAAGGAAAAAUACCAUCUCUUU